GAUGAACGCUGGCGGCGUGCCUAAUACAUGCAAGUCGAACGCUGGAAAUCUAGCUUGCUAGAUUGAAGGAGUGGCGAACGGGUGAGUAAUACAUAAGCAACCUACCCACGAAGACUGGGAUAAUCUCUGGAAACGGGGACUAAUACCGGAUAGGUAAUCGGAAGGCAUCUUCUGAUUAUUAAAGGUUAAAAACACUGGUGGAUGGGCUUAUGGCGCAUUAGUUAGUUGGUGAGGUAACGGCCCACCAAGACGAUGAUGCGUAGCCGGCCUGAGAGGGUGAACGGCCACAUUGGGACUGAGACACGGCCCAGACUCCUACGGGAGGCAGCAGUAGGGAAGUUUCGGCAAUGGGGGAAACCCUGACCGAGCAACGCCGCGUGAGUGAUGACGGCCUUCGGGUUGUAAAGCUCUGUUGUAAGGGAAGAACGGUAGAUAGAGAAUAUCUAAAUGACGGUACCUUACCAGAAAGCAACGGCUAACUACGUG
rnacentral:rRNA from 1 species